rnacentral:rRNA from 1 species
GAUGAACGCUGGCGGCGUGCCUAAUACAUGCAAGUCGAGCGAACGGACGAGAAGCUUGCUUCUCUGAUGUUAGCGGCGGACGGGUGAGUAACACGUGGAUAACCUACCUAUAAGACUGGGAUAACUUCGGGAAACCGUAGCUAAUACCGGAUAAUAUUUUGAACCGCAUGGUUCAAAAGUGAAAGACGGUCUUGCUGUCACUUAUAGAUGGAUCCGCGCUGCAUUAGCUAGUUGGUAAGGUAACGGCUUACCAAGGCAACGAUGCAUAGCCGACCUGAGAGGUGGAUCGGCCAACCGGGAACGGGGACACGGUCCAGACUCCUACGGGAGGCAGCAGUAGGGAAUCUUCCGCAAUGGGCGAAAGCCUGACGGAGCAACGCGGCGUGAGUGAUGAAGGUCUUCGGAUCGUAAAACUCUGUUAUUAGGGAAGAACAUAUGUGUAAGUAACUGUGCACAUCGUGACGGUACCUAAUCAGAAAGCCACGGCUAACUACGUG